AAGGUCAGAGGUCAGAUGAUGACACAUCCGUACUCUCCCCAGUUCAGUCUGUCAGAGCGAGAACAGGCAGAGGCCAGUGUGUGUGUGUGUGUGUGUGUGUGUGUGUGUGUGUGUGUCUGUGUGUGUGUGUGUCUCGCUGAGAGCCACAGAGCAUGACAUGGCAUAUUUUACAUGGUGCGCCUAGCAAGUUGGUGGUUACUGUGACACAGCAACAGGAGGAGUUCACCUGCUUAAGUGAUGAGCAUCCAGGAGCAUCAGCUGACAUUUUCUCAUGAGCUUCUUUUUCUCUCCUCUCCUGUCACGCGGUCACUUUCAUUUCCCAUCUUCAUGUCUUGUCUAUGUUGUGUGAACUAUGUGUCUGUAUCCACAGUGUAGGUAUUAUGUCAUGACAAUAACAU